UACAGAGGUCUCAAGCGUUGUUCGGAUUCAUUGGGCGUAAAGGGUGUGUAGGUGGCGCGCUAAGUCGGGUGUGAAAUUUCGGAGCUUAACUCCGAAACUGCAUUUGAUACUGGCGUGCUUGAGGACUGGAGAGGAGACUGGAAUCAUGGUGUAGCAGUGAAAUGCGCAGAUAUCAGGAAGAACACCAAUGGCGAAAGCAGCUCUCUGGGACGGUACUGACGCUGAGACGCGAAAGCGUGGGGAGCGAACAGG
rnacentral:rRNA from 1 species